rnacentral:lncRNA from 1 species
AGAAUAAGAGGUAGGUUCUUUGAAAGAUAUCUGAAAUUGAAAUUAAUUCAAAGAUUAUUUUAUGAUAUAUUCAGAUCCAAAUUAACUGAGAGAUAUGAAAUAUUUAAUGUGUUUCUUCCACUUCUUUCACUAUGAAAGGAGAUAAGACUCCUUUCGUAGAUCCAUAAAAUGCUAAAUAAAUGUCCUGCCUAUAACCGAUUGCUCAGCAAAAAUUACUAUAAUAAUGCCACCUAAUCAAAUCCUGCAGAGUAUCUUCUUAAAACUUUCUAUCAGGUUUCCAAUUUUCAACAUUUUUCUACCAUCAGUGCUGUGCAUCUGUGCUUUUUCAUCUGAAUUAUUUAAGUACAAUAAAAAUCAAAAGCUCAUCACUCAAUAUCAUAGAAGAAUGAAAUAAAGAAAUUCUAACUUUACAGCACAGGGAGCUGUAUUUCAAGGAAGAUAACUAUGAAGAUGAUCUAUUAUGUAUGGCAUCUAUUAUCCGUUCCUCACUUUUCUGGUAAUUGUGCCUCAACUCCCCUCUGGGCCACCACUCCUCCCCCACUUAAGCUCCCAUGCUCUGGAAAAGGCUUGGCUGCUGAGUCUAGAGUUAGGUGUGUGCCCAAGGUCACAUUCAAUCAGAGCAUUUCCCUAAGUGAGUGACUGGAGCAGAGAACAGCAAGUAACCUAAUCAGAGCUGGUUAACAAUGAGGUGGCUAUUUGUGAAACCUGAACUGGUGUUAUAUAGCUAUAACUGGCUACUGGUUUAUAUAGCUAUUUCUUUUCCUUUAGUCUCUUGCUCAGGCUCCCUGCGAUUAUCUUCUGCAUGUACUAUGUGCACAUUCUUGCCUCAGUCUCUACUUUGGGGAGUAUGGGGGAACCAAAUUAAUACAUCCACUAUAGUUCAUCUUCCUCAGAGCAGCCAAAUUUAGCCUGUGAAAGCUAAUUCAAAUUAGUUCAUCCCUGGCUAAAAACAUUCCAGUGGCUUUAUUUUACCACAAAAUAAAAAGCAAAACUCCUUUUGGUGAUAGUCUGCAAGGAUCCACAAAAUGUGAUCCUACCACUCUGACCUUAUCAUCUCCCAAACUUCCUGAAUUACAGUUCUAGCCCAACCAGCCUUCUUUUUGACCCUAGAAUAUGUCAAGCCCAUAUUUGUCUCAGCACACUUUGGUCUGUUUAUUCUGCUUUGAACAAUCUUUCUCAGGAAGUUUUCAUGUCUUGUUUUCUCACUGAGUCCUUACUUUAAAAAACACCUUCCAAAAGUUAUUACUUACCCUAUCUAAAGCACUCACCCUAUCAUCAAUUCCCUAUCACACUUCUAUACUUGAUGUUUGUAAAUAUCUAAUUUGUUUUACUGAGCUUCUCUCUUUCCCUCUAGUUGCAAUUUGAGAAUAAAGUGAAGAACAGUUGGAGCAUCUUAUGGAUAUUAUAUAAUGAGAAACACUGGAGGAGAAUGGCACCAGAAGGAGGAGAGUAGAGAAAUGACACAGAGGAUGUGAUGCUGGUGAUACUGGAUGACUCAUGGCUUAAAUAGCAUCUGAAGCCACCCUAGUUCUGUUCUUCUUGGUUACAUUAUAUAUUACAUCUCUUAGGUUUGAACUGGUUUUCUGUCAUUUGAGUAUUACAGAUAGUAUAAACUCUAAGGAAAAAUCAGUGAGGAUAUCAUUUCAAGACCAAGGAAAGCACAGGAUACUCCUUAGAGAAAUUGUUUUAAGUGUCUUAAAAGAAAUCUUCUUAGAGCAAAGAAUAGCAAAGCUAACAAGACUUGAAAAUAUUUGUGAAACAAAAAUUUUAUUCAGUAUUUUGACGUAAAUUACAAAGUGUGAUGUGCAGUGCCCUUCCCUGGAGGCACUUUAAAAGAGUGUCUCAUCUGUUUGAGUUGACUGAAUUGGCAUCAACCUGAUGGCAGAGAGGAUCUAAACAACCCCAGCCUUCUUCUGACUCUGUGAUACAAACAAAACUUGGAAAAUGGCUGUUCUAGCAGUUAAAGUUGCCAAUAAAAAAGUAGGCACUUUCAGGGUGAUACAAUGUAAUUAGACUAAGCAAGAACACAUGUGUGAGGCAUGACAUUAAAAAAAAAGAUAAGACAGAAGUGUUAUUAAUUAUGGAGGGCAAACAAAUACCCAGGAUAGUGACUAGUCCAAGAUUCCAGCAGGAAUUGUCAUGAGGGCCUCAGUAUCACAUAGACACACGUUUAGAAAGUCCUACUCUGUCAUAAAUGAUCUCAACAUUUUUUAACAUCUGAUAUCUGGAGCUAAAUGUCAUUUCAAUAGCAUACCUAAUAAUUAUGACAACAGCAGUAACAACAAUGUCUUGGAGCAGUACCCAUAUGUCAGGUACUGUUCUGAAUAUAGAACAUGUGGUAUCUGUUUUAAUCCACGAACAAUCCAAGAAAGGAGGUACUAUUAAUUUAUCCACUUAAUAAAUGAAGUCACUUAAACAUAGAGGGCAUAUAUUCUUUUGAUGGAUGGAAUGUCAGAGUCCCAAGAAAGGAAAACUGAGAUAAGAUGCAUAAACUACAAAGUAUAAAGUUAAUGGAGGAAUUUAAGAGCCGGCUUAAAUUUGGUCUUUAACAAAUGUAGAUUUGAUCAUUUUUUUGUACCUUAGUUAUCGACAGUAUGUUCUUGUACAUUUUAAUACCAUGAGCAAACCAGAUAAAAUCUGAAGCUCUCUAAUUUUUCAUAGAACUGGAAUGUGGCAUUUUAUAUUCAGCAUAAGGCAAAGCCUCUCAAUGUCAGGGAAGAGGCUAAUGAGGCCGGGGUACUUGAGGAGAUCAAAUGGCAAGGAAUACAAUAAGGCCACAAUGCAUAUGACAGAGGAAAUGGCAAUAUGCCAGUUUGGAAAUAAAAAUAGGGGAGUCCAAAGAACUUACUGCCUGUAAAGGUUUUUUUCUUUUUUUCCCCCUGUGAAAGAAGUCAAUUUGAGAAGCUUCAGGGAAAAUCAAAGUUCUGUGUUGAGAUGAGGUUUUAGAUGAAUGAGGAGCUUAAAGUACUUUCAACUCGACAUGGCUUGGCUUCAAGGUCUGGCGGUUCAUUAUGAAGUAUAGAUGGUAUAACUAAAAGCACGACUCUUACUGUGAACAAGAGGGACCUAAAAUGGUAAGGAAAAAGGUUUGAUUGCAAACAUGAGUGCCAUACUCACUAGCUUUCUCUGUUUUAAAGGGAAAACGCUUCUCCUCUUUUUAUAUUCUCUC